UACGAAGGGGGCAAGCGUUGUUCGGAAUUACUGGGCGUAAAGGGCGCGUAGGCGCCGAUCAAGUCAGGCGUGAAAUUCCCGGGCUCAACCUGGGGGCUGCGCUUGAUACUGAUUGGCUUGAAUGCGGGAGAGGAUAGUGGAAUUCCCAGUGUAGAGGUGAAAUUCGUAGAUAUUGGGAAGAACACCGGUGGCGAAGGCGGCUAUCUGGCCCGUAAUUGACG
rnacentral:rRNA from 1 species